rnacentral:rRNA from 1 species
AACGUAUCCUUGAGUGGGGGACAACCCGUCGAAAGACAGGCUAAUACCGCAUACGCUCGAGAGAGGAAAGUGGGGGACCGCAAGGCCUCACGCUGAAGGAGCGGCCGAUAUUCGAUUAGCUAGUUGGUGGGGUAAAGGCUCACCAAGGCGACGAUCUGUAGCUGGUUUGAGAGAACGACCAGCCACACUGGGACUGAGACACGGCCCAGACUCCUACGGGAGGCAGCAGUGGGGAAUUUUGGACAAUGGGCGGAAGCCUGAUCCAGCAAUGCCGCGUGUGG